AACGCACCUUGCGCUCCUUGGUAUUCCGAGGAGCAUGCCUGUUUGAGUGUCAUUAAAUUCUCAAUCUCUACAGCUUUUGUUGUUUAGUAGAUUGGAUGUGGAGGUUCUUUGUGUGGGAUGCAAAUCCCUCACUCCUCUUAAAUGUAUUAGCUGGAAUGCCUCCGCAUAUCUGACUAUCAGUGUGAUAAUUAUCUAUACUGUAGUUGUUGCAUGAGGGUAUCUGCUUCAUUAACCGUCGCAAGACAACUCUAAUGACCAUCUUGACCUCAAAUCAGGUAGGACUACCCGCUGAACUUAA
rnacentral:misc_RNA from 1 species